rnacentral:rRNA from 1 species
UACGUAGGGACCAAGCGUUGUUCGGAUUUACUGGGCGUAAAGGGCGCGUCGGCGGCGUGACAAGUCACUUGUGAAAUCUCUGGGCUUAACCCAGAACGGCCAAGUGAAACUGUUGUGCUAGAGUGCAGAAGGGGCAAUCGGAAUUCUCGGUGUAGCGGUGAAAUGCGUAGAUAUGCGGAGGAACACCGAUGGCGAAGGCAAUCCCCUGGACCUGUACUGACGCUCAUGCACGAAAGCGUGGGGAGCAAACAGG